ACUGGCAGGUGUGGCAGGCUGACGAGGUGGCUGAUGAGGUGCAGGUGCGGGUUGUUGGCUGGGCUCAGGAGCGGAGAGAGAGAGAGAGGAAGAGAACACAGGGAGGCAGGUAGAGCAAAACAAUGGGAGGAAUAAAGCGAAGAGAAAAAAAGGAAACCAGGACUACUCACCGUCAGCUGGGCUGUCCCUACAAUACUGACACCAUUCCUGCAGGAAAGUGACCUGGCUAAAGUAAGCCUCACCCUGUGCUGCAUCGCUGCCUCUCUGAUGCCUGACCUCCCUCUCACUCCUCUCCCGCUUGACACCUCUCCUGUCCCCGCCUGAACCUGCCAUGUCUUCUUCAUGAAGUUGGAGCCACUCUAAAUCACCUUGGUUUUAUCCAGACCCUCGUUCCAACAUUAGUUUUGCCUGCUAUCUGUCACAUCCUGUCUUCAUUAUCCUGUACACUGGCGUGCAACAGACCCCAACUCAGGCAUCAACUUCAUAAGUACUUCAGACAGCACAUUUCAUUCAGUUUUAUCAAGCCUAGCUGAUGCAGAGGUAUUGAUGUACUGUAUGUUUCUACUUCAGAUGUACUAGUUCCUUGGCUACCUUGUGCUCACACUGGUUGUGAGCUGUGUUUACUGUGCUGGUUGAGAAGCCCUACCUUCACUUAAAAUGGAGUAGUACAUAGAAACAAAUCAGCACAUGAAGGACUUCUCCAGUGAAUGACCCUAAUCAUAUAUUUCAUGUACCUUGUCAGUUAAGCCAGUGCUCUUGUUGAAGUCCUCUUUUAUUUAGAAAAUAAUCCUGUUUGUUCUGAAGGUUUUUAUAGUAAUUUCUGAGUGUUUACUACUUUUCUAUUGUAACUAUUGUUCAAUAGUUGACAGAGAGUUGAUAUGGAUUACAUCUUGCAGGUGACACAAAAAGGUGAGAUCUUUGAACAUGAUGUAAUCUACAUAUAAAGAUUAUGUGUUGUCUACAUUUUCACCAUUACCAUCUAAUCGAAGGAACGAUAACAAGGUCAAAUAACUGCAUUCAAAUGUCGAUUGUUCAUGCAGAAAAAAUGUCUACUAUUCAGGAUUAGUUGUGAUUUUCCAUAAACAUGAUAUUAUUUACUGUUUCUCCACACAGUGUAAUUUCAAUUUGGAAAUUAUUAAAAGAGGACUAAUACAGCGAAAAGGACUGCCCUCUUGUGGAGGACUAGAUUAGUGUGAUAGGCUUCCUUGUGACCAAAAAUAACAACAUAAAUAACUCUGGCCACCAUUUCACUGCACUUUCCAUGGCAGUGAGUCAGAAUUUACAAGUGACACCGACUUAGCUAAUGAGAUCAUAACAAAGGGUAUCUGUUUCUUAUGACGCAAUGCCCAGACCUUUCCAUCUUAGCACUUGAGUUAUGCAGGGCAUGUGCUACGUUGUGUGUUGAAUUAUGUUGAGUAAUGCUUGCCAAACAACCUCAAAUAAAUACCUUGAUCCUUC